AAUCUUAUGUGGUACCUUGGGAACCAGAGAUCAAAGUAUCGGUACCUCAGAGAGAACUUAAAAACAGAAAAAAGAAAUAGCUACGAACUGGCAAUGCCGUCUUUCUCUUGCCUUCAAAAUGGUAUAAUACGAAAGAAUUAGCAGAUUUCUUUAUUCCUAAUCAUACCUCCUAUCUUGUCCUUUUGGGUCGUCGAUGAUAUGAACGCAAAAGUAUUUUAUCCCGGUUUAAAGUAAUGGAUUCCUCAAGGAAAACUCGGUCAAGAGGAAAUUUUACACUUCAAAAGGAGAAGCUGCGCAUUUGGACACCAGAAAACGAUAUGCACAAUGUGAGUCGACUACUCGAAAAUUGAAAUAGCUUUCAGGAAGUUGCAAACGAUUCUUUCUACAUAUUCUGCUGUGGUGCUCUGUUUGUUAGGUUUUCCAACAAAUUUAGAAUAAGGGCGAGUUUGCUUUUUUUUUUUUUUUUGGCCACAGGGGGUUCUUCCAUAUUUUAUCAACGAGCAUCUCUGUAUGAUGUCAAAACCUAGGUGUUUGGAAAGUCUUCUUUUAUUUAUUUUUUCAGUUAUUAAGAACUUUCAGGGUGAAAUGGUUUGAUUCAUUAGUAUUUGCCUUAUACCCUUUUUUUUUCUUAUUUUCUUCUUCGUAGAUCUUUCAUGUUUUUCCUCAUGUUUGAUGUUGGACGGAUUAAAGUUUCCCAAUUUGAGUGGCUUUUGCGAUGAUGCUCUCUGCUAAACUUGUUUGAAAUUUAAUGCUGUUAAUUCUUCAUAUAUCAUCUGAAUGCACUGUUUUCAGAGACCGUUCACUUGUUGCCCAGUCCUUUUCUUUUUUCUUGGAUAAUCGAUCUUAGUUUUUGCCCUGUUGAAAGACAAACCUAGAACUGGAGGGUGUGUUAUUGACUCUCUACAUUAAAAGUAAAAGAUAAAAGAGAACGAAAAAGAGAGGGUCUUGUGGUUUCUCCUUGUGGAUUGAAGAAGUCGAAGAAAGGCCCAUUGAUGCAGUGAAGCAUACGCUUGUGCAUCCAAUGUCUUGCGCAAGAUGUUUUGAGCAUGAAAGAAUGCAUAUGUGGCUUUGUUGAAGCUAUGAAGAGCUUCUACAAUUGAGAAAAGAAGAAAGAAGAGGAAAGAAGAAAGAAAAAAAAAAAAGGAAGAGAGAAUAAUAUAAAGGGAAGAAAAGGUUAGCUUUUCCGGGUAUCUCAGACAAGGUUUAUAAGCAUCUCCUACUAUUGUAUUUAUUUUCACACACACACACACACAUACACACACACACACAUAUAUAUAUAUAUAUAUAUAUAUAUUGUCUGAGUACAUAUACGUAUGCUAAGUAUAGGAACUUAAUGCAAUAGAUGAUGUGGAUCCGGGUUCCCAAAAUCAGGGAUUGGAUCACUUAGGGCCCACAAGAAUGACUAAGAAGCUCAAUGUAAUGGUUGAGGGGUAUUCUUGUAAUUUUAGAAACAACCAUGUGCAUUACUGAUAUUAUAACAAGUGACAGGGAUGACAGAAAUAGGAAAAUUAAAAGAGGGGGGGUGUUUUGUAAUUGAUAAAGUAGGGAGGAACUAAUAGAACACACUUUUCAGUAUAAGGGGUUUAUUUGUAAAGUUAAGUAACUGUCCUUACUUGUAAUUUCAGAAACCCAAUCCUCUUCUUCUUGUUCACGAUAGAACACAAAACGGUAACCAACCUUCAAAGGAGAGAACUCCCUCACCACAGAGUUGCUGGAUCUACAAGUUUAGGAAAAGGAUCAAAACCCCAAGCCUAUUGGAUGCACGUGACAACCAGCAGUGAUAGACUCCACCAGCAGGAACUAAUUUGUUCUGUAACUCAGUCUAUCGCAGGUAUAGAACCAGAUCUGAACUUUUGGUCAGAGCUUCCGGUAGAGACCAAACUUGGUCUUGGAUCUGUGUAUGGUGAGUCGUUUCUAUUGUAGGAAUGAGUCCCAAAAAUCUUGAACUGGUGUGGUGUGUUUUUGUAGAGAUUGAACCCCAACACUAGGGCUAGAAGUAUCGCCCAGUACAGGGGCUGGGAGAGGAAACUAGCGAGAAGAAGGAAAAGAAGGAAAAGAAGAAAAGAGGGGAAAAGAAGAAGAUGAAAUAAAGAGACAGAUCAGAAAAGAGAGAUGGAAACCACCCAUGGCAACCAUCGUUUCCAACCAAAACAUAAUUCUCAAACUCAUUCAAUUAUUCAAUAUAACUUCAAAAUCUCAAAACUGAGUUCUUCUCUAUUACAUGACUAAUAUAAAGGAAAAAUCAAACAAUUAAUGGAAACUACUAGAAAAUGGAAACUAUUCUAAAAUUAGAAGCUAGCUAAUUUAAAAAGAAAUUGUUUCUAAAACAAAAGAAAAUCAAAUCAAAAGAUUUUUUUUUUCUAAGUCCAUCGUGCAACUGCAUCAAUAGAUCUACUCUAGCAUGUGGAAAAUUGUAGGGAAAUUUCUAUAAUCCCAUUUGUGAUUUCAUUAUCUGACUGGGAGUGUGUGUGCUCCCCAAUAGUGGGUGCUGUCACUUGUAGUGCCUUCUUAAUCUAUGUUGGAAAACUUGGGUGUGAGUGCUCCUUGAAAGUGAGUGCUAUCUUUUGUAAUCGGCAUUAAGUGCCCUCUCAAUCUAUGCUGGGAAAAUAUGAGGGUUGGUGCUCUCAAUUGUAAGUGCAUUUAAAGUAGUGUAUAAAGUAGAUACAAAGCCUUUACAGACACUACUCCAUGGAUGUAGACAUUUUGCCAAACCUCAUAAAAACAUGUGUGUUGUUGGUAUGGUUUCCUUUUGCUUACAUUGUUUUUGGAGUGCUUGUGGGCUGCAGGAUGGGUGUGCACACCUGGAAGUGCCUAUGACAAGAGCCUGGGUGUGUACAUGAAUAUGUGUGUGUGAUUGUGUUCAAUGCUAGCAGAUUGCCAUGUCAGUUUGUGGCAUUAAAAAAGGAAAGAAAUUAGGAUCGUUGAUUCACUCCCCUCUUAGUGAGGGCCAUAGUUAAACAAUUAUGGUUGGAUAGAAGAUUAAACCAAGGGCCUCUCAAUGUUUUUGGUUUACAAAGACUAUGCCAUCUCCCACAGAACAUCAUUUCCACUUAUCUUCUCCUUCUCCACUCCAAAAUUUAGCAUGUAAGUAAUCAAGCUUCAAACAUAGUUUGGAAGGGAGCAUGAAACAUGGCAUCCAAUAGGUAGUAAUAGAACUAGGAAUAGAUUAAAUAAGGUUUGAUCUCCCAGCUUGGGAGAGGAGAGGGAUUUUCCAAACCCCAAGUUUCCACUCCACCCUAUGUAUCGAGUGUUGCUAGUCCUGUAUUUAUGCCUAGAGAAAAACCUAGGGGUAUCUAGAUAGAUAGUCUUAUCUAUAAUGCGAGCCUGUUGCACAACAGUUAAGUUGCACUAUUGCAACCUAUUGGUCACAGGUUCAAAACUUAGAAACAACCUCUUCUGUGAAGUAGGAGGUAAGGCUGCAUACACACUUGCCCCUCCCAGACCUUGCAACAGCAGGAGCCUUGUCCACUAUCUCAAGGUAAUGGUUGAGGGGCAAUCUUGUAAAUUCAGGAACACUCAAGCACUUAAAAGAACAUAAGAUAACUAAUAGGGUCAAACUGGAAUAUAAAAGUAGAAGAGGAGGGGUAAUGUGUAAUUGCAAAAGUGAGGGGGAGGAAUAAUAGAACACAAUUUCAAGACAUGGGCUUUCAUGUAAUAACAGGGAAUAAACUCUUUUAAAACAAAAGAAAAAA